GGGCGCUUAGCUCAGUUGGUAGAGCAGCUGACUCUUAAUCAGCGGGUCGUAGGUUCGAAUCCUACACAGCCCACCA
rnacentral:tRNA from 1 species